rnacentral:rRNA from 1 species
GGUGGUGCAUGGUCGUCGUCAGCUCGUGUCGUGAGAUGUUGGGUUAAGUCCCGCAACGAGCGCAACCCUUAUUGUUAGUUGCCAGCAUUCAGUUGGGCACUCUAGCGAGACUGCCGGUGACAAACCGGAGGAAGGCGGGGACGACGUCAGAUCAUCAUGCCCCUUAUGACCUGGGCUACACACGUGCUACAAUGGCGUAUACAACGAGUUGCCAACCCGCGAGGGUGAGCUAAUCUCUUAAAGUACGUCUCAGUUCGGACUGCAGUCUGCAACUCGACUGCACGAAGUCGGAAUCGCUAGUAAUCGCGGAUCAGCACGCCGCGGUGAAUACGUUCCCGGGUCUUGUACAC